rnacentral:lncRNA from 8 species
AUGUAUUCUCUCUCUUUCUUUACCAUUCUCCUUUUCUCUCUCCUCUCUCUCUCCUCUCUUUCAUUCCUCUCACUCUUAUUCACCCCGCUCCCCUCUCUCUCCUCUUUCCCCCUCUCCCUUCUUUCUUUUUCUUUCUCUCUCUCUCAACCUAUCCUCUGUCUCCGUAGCCUGUGUUUCUCUCUACAUGAACGAAUGCAGCUUUUUUCAGGCGGCACAGCCCUUAGAAUGUCUGGGGCGAUCUGUGAACUGCAGCAGUGGAACCAGGCAGCACAGUCAAAUCCCCGAAAGUCUGUACAGGCUACACUGAACAAUGGGAAGCAACUCCAAGGGACUCUACGUGAGGCGCUGUCACAGCUAGACUUCCUAUUGGACUGUAUCGGAAGGGAGCGCGUGGAGCAGUUCGAGAGAAGAGCUGGACAGGCCCUUAGCAACAGUGCAGCUCUCCUCACAGCCCUAGCCCAAUCCCAGGUGUCCCUAGUGAGCACAGAGGUGGAUGGAGACAUUAAGAAACCAAGCAACACACCUGGCAAAGCGCCAUCUUUCAGCGCGGCAUCCCUUUUGUCACAACCUGUAGAGAUAGUGACUCCAGGCGGGAUCAAACCUCUUCAGGCUAAUAUUGACUCAACGAAAGAUCUGCAAAAAGAGCAGGCUGAAAGCAGAGUGCAAAGCAAAAGAGCCAUUACCAGAGGAACAAUGGAUGCUGUUAAAGAACCUACCAAGAAAGUGAUGAGCGACACUGAACAAAGAGCAGAGGACCUAGAAUACGGCAAAGACUCAUUGAAGGGCUGGAGCAUCCAGCCAGCAGAGAGAAUGGUCACAGACAUGGAGGAUGGGGAGAGUCAAAUACAAAUUCCCAUGGGAGAAACCUUAACCCAAACUCCCAUCACCCGCGUUGAUAUCUCAGCCACUGUGGUGGUGCCAGAGACCCCGGGCUCUAGCCAAUGUGGGGAUACUGUAACAGAGAUGACACCUCACCAUAUAGAACCAAUGGAUCGAGAGGGAACCUCACCUCCGACACCGCACAAAGUGUUCACCAUCGUUCUGGACACAGACCUCGAACGACAACUUGAUGGCAUGUCUAUGGCCAAUGCUCUCCAAAGCAGACCAGGUUACCAUGGCAACAAUGCUAUUGUACAUACAGACUCACCUCAACCUGGUGACGGUGAGAUUCCAGCUACUGAGUCACAUGACGAUGCAAACACUGCAGUUGCAUAUGCUGGGAAAUUUCUUGUUCAGGAAGCUGAGACUCUACAUUGUGAAGUCACUUCCUCGACCAAAGCUGAAUUGGGCAUUAAAAGCAGUGUGGGGCUAGAUGUAACACAUCUCAUGCCGCAUCCAGAAAGAAAGCAGCUGGAGACGCAUGCAAGACCCACAGACAAAUCACAGUCAGAUAACAAAACACAACGCACAGAGUCUAGAGACUGCACUGAGACAAAGAAAGUAUUUACAAUUGUUUUGGACAUGGAGCUACCUCUGUCUCAGUCCAAGGACAUUCAAAGCAGGGAGCCUCCUUGUGGUAAUGGCUCAGAUACAUUUAGCUCUGGUGACUUUCCUUCAAAACUGACUGAUAGUUCUGUCACUGGGAACACCAAGAACACAGAUGGCGGGCGGCGCAUCAAGUCAAAGCACAGGGGGCGGAGGAGGGCUGAUUUUAGGAGCUCAGCGUCCAAGGGCCCCAAAGUGAAGAGUUCCAAGGGCCCCUCUGCUGCAAAGAACACGGAAUCAGAGUGGGAGAAAUCGCAGGGCCCCAAAACAAAAGGUCUGAAAUCAAAAGGCCCCGAAUCAGGGCUCACAGAGUCUAAGUCCGCUGAAUUGGCAGACACCGAAUUCGAGUCACAGAGACACACUGAUAUCUCUGACAACACUGAACCAGGAAGUGUUGACGAUGACGUAGACACAGACGCUAAAGAUGCCAGACAGACAGAAAUGACAAACAGACAAAUAGCUGUAAACACAGAAGCAUCUGACAGAAUGAAGGAGACUUCAGACAUCACCUGUACUACAGACAGCAAAGAUAACAGACAGAUUGUGAGCAAAGACACUGGAAAGAUAGACACAACUGACAUGCUACAGGUGAAUGAUCUCACACAGACAGAUGUCAGUCAGACAGAUGCCACAAGAGACAAUACACAGUUGUCACACGCACCUUCACCAGCAUAUGCAGCCACAGAGAUUGAGCCCAGAGAGGGGACAGAAAGGACAGCUCCACAGGAACAGAUGCAGGAGGGGAGUGAAGUCAAGAGGAGUACCUCGGUCCAGACUGGUGGGUUGCUAUCCGAAGCCGUGGCGAAGGUGGAGAGAGUUGGGGGAGCGGUGCGCCCGGAGGUCCCGUGCCACAGGUCCACUAUGCAAGGCAUCCUCUCUGAGGUCCAAGGGUUGGUGGAGAGGAAGGACAUCAUCAAGGGAGGCCAGUGGAUGGAGGCGGCUUGGUACCUGCAGCCUUCGCCCAGAAAGCCAGAGAUCCAAAUAGGGCGCACUGUCCUCAGGGUUCUAGGAUGCCGCUACCAGCCAGCCCAGCUCAACCCUGCCAACAUGGCCCAGCAACUGACGGAGGCUGAGGACUGCAGACGCUACGUGCUUGAGCAGGUGGCUGCGAUAAAUCAUGUGGUCGUUGUCCCAGAGGACGCAACAAAUCUGGAGGGGCGAUGGAGUGCAGCCCUGUUGGAUGCCUCGGCCACAGUGCAGGUCAAAGAGGCUCAGCUCCACCUGGUCACACAGUACCACAGGCAGACUCAGGCCAUCCGGAGCAUUCUGGAGAGAUGGGCAAGCGAGAUGGAUGAGCUACAAUUGGACACUCGAAGCAGUGCGCUUCAGGCUGAAAAACUACAUACUCUGUUAUGUAACAUUGAACAGCAGAAGGGCAUGAUGGGGGAGCUGCUCCAGGUGUGUUGCCAGGUGUCUGCCCACCUGAGUGAAGUCGAGGGGUCAGGGGCACUCCUCGCUCAGCUAGGGGAUCUGCAGGAGGAGUGGAGGCUUUUGGAGGGGGCUGGGAAUAGAAGCCUGAGGCAUGCCUCAAUUGGUUCUUCUCAGUCCUCUAUCCUUCUACAAAAGGCUGAGCAGCUGCAUUGCAAGCUUGAGACUCUUCAGAAGUCCAUCACCCUCUUACAGUCCUCUCAAUUGCAGCAUGACACUCACAAAGCUUUAGUGCUGACCUUUAUGACUGCUGACUUGAAAGCCUUCAACCAGCAGUACCUACACCUGCUGGGGCAAUCAGAGGAUUUUGCCCAAUUUUCUCUUGGGCAGAAGGAGAAGGAGGAUGUGGAGUGUACUCUUCAGAGCUUGAGCUCCUUACUUGCCUCCACUCAGACGUUGCUCUCUGCUCAGUCAUACUCUAUAGCAAAACCCUCCUUGGCUAAAAUCAUGAAGCAAAUGCAGGACUUGAUUAUCUGGGCCAAGCAUGCAGAAAACCACAUCGCAACAGGUGAAAAGGUAGCCCUCUUCCCUGAAGAGGUCCGUCUCCAAAUUGGCAGCAUGAGGAAACUUCAAUCUGAGAUUUUGGCAAGGCAUUCCAGGGUGCACUACAAAGUUGAGGACCUGAAAGAACUGAUUUCGGAUGAAGGGGAAAUUGACAAAGUGCUGUCAUCACUGAAGACCUUGAAGGACCUCUAUGAAACAGUCUCAGAUAACUCUGCUCGUAUUCUGAAGGAAAUGGAAGCUGUUUUGGAGGAAAGAGAGAAGAUGCUGGUCCAGAUCUCAAAAGUGAACACUUGGCUAGCAGUGGCACACCAUGAGAGAGAGGUCACCGCAGAUGUAGAGAAUAUGUCCAAAGACACCAUCCCAGAUCUGGAAAGCAAGCUGCAGUUUCACAUCGGUGCCAUCAAGGAAGCAGAAAGACAGCUGGCUGUCACGGACGCCCUUUUGGAGACCUGCAUGGAGGUUUCUUCGGGGUUGAGUCCAGCAGAGAGCCACUUUCUUGUCAACAGGCUCACAGGCCUCCGGACCGAGGUGGACGGAAUGGUGGCCCACGAGAAAGCAGCCCACUGGGAGCUGGAGGAACUGCUUCACACCCGGACUUCUUCGGCCGAGGAACUGGCGGCUGUCCAGGUGAGCGUGCAACAGAUAUGGGCCGACCUGGAGAGGCAGAGGUUCCCAGUGACAAAGGACUCCCUAUCUGCCAUAGAGCCCUUGACACACAUGCUCCUGGAGCACCAAUGUCAGAUCCAGGAACUCCAGUACUGCCAAGAGGACCAGAAAAGUGCCCUCUUGCAUACCAUUGGCGAACUGCAAGAGAAGGUGAAAACUCUCCACCACCACGCCCUGGAACACGAGAAGUACCUGACCUACCGGCAGCGCAUGGAAUACUCCAGGGAGGUGGCAAAGGAGCGUGCUCAGUGCUCCAAAGACAAGAGAUUCAGCGUGGGGGAAAGGUUCAGUCUUUGCCAGGCUCUCCUGGUGGAACUUCCGCUGGUGAAGACCCAGUGCCAGGAUGCUUCCGACCAGCUCGAGGCCAUCGCCCAAGACCUGCACCUAUCGGAUAGAAUGUUGCUUCUGUCGGAGAGGCAGAGGAUCCAGCAAACUGUUGAAAACCUAGCCUCCUGGGAGCUUGCCAUCACUGACGACGUCAAAAACCUAGAGGGAAAGCUUCUGGAGGGUCUCAGAUUCUGCACCGAGCUUCCUGCCAUGAUGGACCUUCUUCAACAGGUCAGGCAGGAGCUGAUGGAGUCUGACCCGGUGAAGCCAGACGUGAGGGCCAUCAACAUAGCGCUGCGGAGGUGCUGGGUGAUCUGGAGGAACGUAGAGUCUGUCAUGCGGGUGUUGGAAGCUUUGAGGCAGAGAGAGCAAGUGGAGAUGAGCCAGUGUGGGGAGCUGCACACCCUGAGGAAUGACGUUGUGCAGAAGUGCCACGCAUGCAUGGAGAAUUUGUCCCAUGCUCGGGAAGCCCUGAAGGAUUACCACUGGGCUGCCCAAGGAGUGGUAACCUUCCUCCUCGAAGCCGAGGCCAUGUUCCUGGCACCUCCAGGCGGAUUUGUGGACUGCACAGAGGAGCAGUGGCACACCCAAGAGCCCCUAGCCUCCCUGGGGGAGAGCCUCCAGGCGCAAAUCAGCCAUCUCCUGGAGCUGGCACCCCAGCAGGCCUGUCUCUCUUUCCCCCAGAGCGAGCAGCUCCACAUCCAGGUCCUGAGCCACCUUUUGGUGGAGAGGGCCGCACUCGAGGCCCAGGUUGAGCUCAGGACAGAGGCCUUGCAGAGGUGUGCAGACAGACAAAGCCUCCACAAGAAGUGUCAUGAGGAGGUAUGGCAUAUCCUGAAGAAAAACGAAUCAAGGCUCUCUGAGUGUGCUGCCCAGGAAGUGACAUCCUACGCCAACUGUGCUGACCAACAGGAUAGAGCCAAGGUGUGUGAAGUGCUGUGUGUCGGUGGUUCUUCUCAGAGUUUGUUCCUACUAGGGAGUUUUUCCUUGCCUCUGUUCUCCUGCUUACGUUUCGGGGGUAUAGUCCAGGUUACUGUAAAGCACUUGUUUUUUAAAAGCAUGUUUUUCAAGCUUAAUUUAGACAGUUUAGACAUCAAGGGGAUACUGAGGUGGAGAGGUGGAAAAAGGUAG